rnacentral:rRNA from 1 species
GAUGAACGCUGGCGGCGCGCCUAACACAUGCAAGUCGAACGGUUAAAGCACCUUUUAGGUGUGUAUAAAGUGGCGAACGGCUGAGUAACACGUGGGCAACCUGCCCUCCUCUUGGGGAUAGCCUCGGGAAACCGAGGAUAAUACCCGAUACUUCAAUGUGGCCGCAUGACGACAUUGAGAAAGCUUUUGCGGAGAAGGAUGGGCCCGCGGCCUGUUAGCUUGUUGGUGGGGUAGAGGCCUACCAAGGCAAUGAUGGGUAGCUGGGUUGAGAGACCGACCAGCCACAGUGGCUCCGCGAGGAGGCCCAGGAUCCUAACGUAGGCAGCAGAGGGGAGUGUUGCAGAAGGGGCGAAGGCCUGGUGCCGCUUGGCCGGGUGCGGGAAAGAGGCGUUUGGGGUGUAAACCGCUUUCAGCAGGGACGAGGCCAUAAGUGACGGUACCUACCGAAGAAGCCCCGGCUAACUACGUG